AUGAACUUUGGGCUGAGCUUGAUUUUCCUUGUCCUAAUUUUAAAAGGUGUCCAGUGUGAAGUGAUGCUGGUGGAGUCUGGGGGAGGCUUAGUGAAGCCUGGAGGGUCCCUGAAACUCUCCUGUGCAGCCUCUGGAUUCACUUUCAGUAGCUAUACCAUGUCUUGGGUUCGCCAGACUCCGGAGAAGAGGCUGGAGUGGGUCGCAACCAUUAGUGGUGGUGGUGGUAACACCUACUAUCCAGACAGUGUGAAGGGUCGAUUCACCAUCUCCAGAGACAAUGCCAAGAACACCCUGUACCUGCAAAUGAGCAGUCUGAGGUCUGAGGACACGGCCUUGUAUUACUGUGCAAGA